CAGCCGCCGCGGUAAUACGAAGGUGGCAAGCGUUGUCCGGAAUUAUUGGGCGUAAAGCGCGCGCAGGUGGUUUAAUAAGUCUGAUGUGAAAGCCCACGGCUCAACCGUGGAGGGUCAUUGGAAACUGUUAAACUUGAGUGCAGGAGAGAAAAGUGGAAUUCCUAGUGUAGCGGUGAAAUGCGUAGAGAUUAGGAGGAACACCAGUGGCGAAGGCGGCUUUUUGGCCUGUAACUGACACUGAGGCGCGAAAGCGUGGGGAGCAAACAGGAUUAGAUACCCGUGUAGUCCCUGUCUCUUAUAC
rnacentral:rRNA from 1 species